rnacentral:rRNA from 1 species
GUAGUCAUAUGCUUGUCUCAAAGAUUAAGCCAUGCAUGUCUAAGUAUAAGCACUUGUACUGUGAAACUGCGAAUGGCUCAUUAAAUCAGUUAUCGUUUAUUUGAUUGUACGUUUACUACAUGGAUACCUGUGGUAAUUCUAGAGCUAAUACAUGCGAAAAAUCCCGACUUCGGAAGGGAUGUAUUUAUUAGACUAAAAACCGAUGCGGGUCCUUGUGGCUCGUUUCUUGGUGAUUCAUGAUAACUUUUCGAAUCGCAUGGCCUUUGCGCCGGCGAUGUUUCAUUCAAAUUUCUGCCCUAUCAACUGUCGAUGGUAAGGUAGUGGCUUACCAUGGUUGUAACGGGUGACGGAGAAUUAGGGUUCGAUUCCGGAGAGGGAGCCUGAGAAACGGCUACCACAUCUAAGGAAGGCAGCAGGCACGAAAAUUACCCAAUCCCAACUCGGGGAGGUAGUGACAAGAAAUAACGGUACGGGGUCUUUAUAGGUCUCGCAAUUGGAAUGAGUACAAUUUAAAUCCUUUAACGAGGAUCAAUUGGAGGGCAAGUCUGGUGCCAGCAGCCGCGGUAAUUCCAGCUCCAAUAGCGUAUAUUAAAGUUGUUGCAGUUAAAAAGCUCGUAGUUGGAUUUCGGAACGGGCCAGUUGGUCCACCGAAAGGUGUGCUACUGACUGGUCUGUUCUUCUUCGCGAAGACUGUAUGUGCUCUUCAUUGAGUGUGUGUAGGAUUUACGACGUUUACUUUGAAAAAAUUAGAGUGUUCAAAGCAGGCUAUCGCUUGAAUACAUGAGCAUGGAAUAAUGGAAUAGGACUUUGGUCCUAUUUUGUUGGUUUCUAGGACCGAAGUAAUGAUUAAGAGGGACAAUUGGGGGCAUCCGUAUUUCGUUGUCAGAGGUGAAAUUCUUGGAUUUACGAAAGACGAACAACUGCGAAAGCACUUGCCAAGAGUGUUUUCAUUAAUCAAGAACGAAAGUUAGAGGAUCGAAGACGAUCAGAUACCGUCCUAGUUCUAACCAUAAACGAUGUCGACUAGGGAUCAGCGGGUGUCAUUAUACGACCCCGUUGGCACCUUACGGGAAACCAAAGUUUUUGGAUUCCGGGGGAAGUAUGGUUGCAAAGCUGAAACUUAAAGGAAUUGACGGAAGGGCACCACCAGGAGUGGAGCCUGCGGCUUAAUUUGACUCAACACGGGAAAACUCACCAGGUCCAGACAUAGUAAGGAUUGACAGGUUGAGAGCCCUUUCUUGAUUCUAUGGGUGGUGGUGCAUGGCC